GGCCGCGUGGCCUAAUGGAUAAGGCAUCAGAGCUUCGGAUCUGAGGAUUGCAGGUUCGAGUCCUGUCGCGGUCG